rnacentral:tRNA from 1 species
GCCGAGAUAGCUCAGUCGGUAGAGCAGAGGACUGAAAAUCCUCGUGUCGCUGGUUCGAUUCCGGCUCUCGGCACCA